UACGGAGGGUGCGAGCGUUAUCCGGAAUUACUGGGUUUAAAGGGUGCGUAGGUGGGUAGGAAAGUCAGUGGUGAAAUCUUCGGGCUUAACCCGGAAACUGCCAUUGAUACUAUUUAUCUUGAAUACUUUGGAGGUAAGCGGAAUAUGUCAUGUAGCGGUGAAAUGCUUAGAUAUGACAUAGAACACCUAUUGCGAAGGCAGCUGGCUAGACCUGUAUUGACGCUGAGGCACGAAAGCGUGGGGAGCGAACAGG
rnacentral:rRNA from 1 species